GACGAACGCUGGCGGCGUGCUUAACACAUGCAAGUCGAACGGAAAGGCCCUGCUUGCAGGGUGCUCGAGUGGCGAACGGGUGAGUAAUACGUGGGUGAUCUGCCCCUUACUUUGGGAUAAGCCUGGGAAACUGGGUCUAAUACUGGAUAGGACCAUGCUGUAGGUGGUGUGGUGGAAAGAUUAGUUUCGGUAAGGGAUGAGCUCGCGGCCUAUCAGCUUGUUGGUGGGGUAAUGGCCUACCAAGGCGUCGACGGGUAGCCGGCCUGAGAGGGUGGACGGCCACAUUGGGACUGAGAUACGGCCCAGACUCCUACGGGAGGCAGCAGUGGGGAAUAUUGCACAAUGGGCGCAAGCCUGAUGCAGCGACGCCGCGUGGGGGAUGACGGCCUUCGGGUUGUAAACUCCUUUCAGCCAUGACGAAGCCCUUGUGGUGACGGUAGUGGUAGAAGAAGCACCGGCUAACUACGUG
rnacentral:rRNA from 1 species